CUGAUGCAGCGACGCCGCGUGGAGGGAUGACGGCCUUCGGGUUGUAAACCUCUUUCAGCAGGGAAGAAGCGAAAGUGACGGUACCUGCAGAAGAAGCGCCGGCUAACUACGUGCCAGCAGCCGCGGUAAUACGUAGGGCGCAAGCGUUAUCCGGAAUUAUUGGGCGUAAAGAGCUCGUAGGCGGUUUGUCGCGUCUGCUGUGAAAGCCCGGGGCUCAACCCCGGGUCUGCAGUGGGUACGGGCAGACUAGAGUGAUGUAGGGGAGACUGGAAUUCCUGGUGUAGCGGUGAAAUGCGCAGAUAUCAGGAGGAACACCGAUGGCGAAGGCAGGUCUCUGGGCAUUAACUGACGCUGAGGAGCGAAAGCAUGGGGAGCGAACAGGAUUAGAUACCCUGGUAGUCCAUGCCGUAAACGUUGGGCACUAGGUGUGGGGGACAUUCCACGUUUUCCGCGCCGUAGCUAACGCAUUAAGUGCCCCGCCUGGGGAGUACGGCCGCAAGGCUAAAACUCAAAGGAAUUGACGGGGGCCCGCACAAGCGGCGGAGCAUGCGGAUUAAUUCGAUGCAACGCGAAGAACCUUACCAAGGCUUGACAUGAACCGGAAAGGCCUGGAAACAGGUCCCCCACUUGUGGCCGGUUUACAGGUGGUGCAUGGUUGUCGUCAGCUCGUGUCGUGAGAUGUUGGGUUAAGUCCCGCAACGAGCGCAACCCUCGUUCUAUGUUGCCAGCGGGUUAUGCCGGGGACUCAUAGGA
rnacentral:rRNA from 1 species